GGAAUAUUGGACAAUGGGCGCAAGCCUGAUCCAGCCAUGCCGCGUGUGUGAAGAAGGCCUUCGGGUUGUAGAGCACUUUUGUACGGGAAGAAAAGCACUCGGUUAAUACCCGGGUGUCAUGACGGUACCGUAAGAAUAAGCACCGGCUAACUUCGUGCCAGCAGCCGCGGUAAUACGAAGGGUGCAAGCGUUACUCGGAAUUACUGGGCGUAAAGCGUGCGUAGGUGGUUUGUUAAGUCUGAUGUGAAAGCCCUGGGCUCAACCUGGGAAUUGCAUUGGAUACUGGCAGUCUAGAGUGCGGUAGAGGGUAGCGGAAUUCCCGGUGUAGCAGUGAAAUGCGUAGAGAUCUGGAGGAACACCGAUGGCGAAGGCAGCCCCCUGGGCUAACACUGACGCUCAUGCACGAAAGCGUGGGGAGCAAAC
rnacentral:rRNA from 1 species